rfam:Tupaia chinensis contig112664, whole genome shotgun sequence.
GUGCUUGCUUCAGCAGCACAUAUACUAAAACUGGAACGAUACAGAAAUUAGCAUGGCCCCUGUGCAAGGAUGACAUGCAAAUUUGUGAAGUGCUCCAUAUUUAA